rnacentral:lncRNA from 1 species
GUGGUGGCUGAGAUCCGGGAGUGGCACGGGGCAGUGGCGGAGCUGGAGCGCAGCCUGCUGGAGCUGCAGCAGGUGUUCAUGGACAUGGCGGUGUUGGUGGAGGCGCAGGGGCAGCAGCUGGACGACAUCGAGAGCAACGUCGGCCGCGCCCAGUCCUUCGUCCGCCACGGCACCGAGCAGCUCGGCGCCGCCCGCCAGCACCAGAAGAGCACCCGCAAGUGGACCUGCAUCGCCAUCAUCAUCAUCCUCAUCAUCAUUCUUAUCAUCGUCCUCUCCAUCGUCCUAACCCACACCAACAAAUCGUCCUCAUCAUCGGCCUCCCCACCGUCCUAACCCUCAUAUCUUCUCAAUCAUACUAGUACUUCUAUUUUUGUGAUGC